UGUGUAAGCUGGUUAGGCGAUUUGUCUUUUGGAUUUAGGAUCCAGUGGGGCAACCCGUGCAGGUUCAAGUCCUGUCUCUCGCAU
rnacentral:tRNA from 1 species